rnacentral:rRNA from 1 species
CAGCCGUAAACAAUGUGCGUUAGGUGUGUCGGUAACCACGCGUUACUGAUGCGCCGAAGAGAAUCGUGAAACGCACCACCUGGGAAGUACGGUCGCAAGGCUGAAACUUAAAGGAAUUGGGCGGGGGGAGCACCACAACAGGUGGAGCCUGCGGUUUAAUUGGAUUCAACGCCGGACAUCUCACCGGAUAAGACAGCUGAAUGAUUGUCAAUCUGAAGGUUUUACAUGAUGAUCUGAGAGGAGGUGCAUGGCGUCAGUGACU